AGACAGCGGUAGGGGAGAGCCGCGCGUGCCAAACGCCCUCCUCCCACCCCCUCCCACGACUCCAUAGUUCCGGAGUCAUCACGCCCUCCCGCAGAAAACCCUAGCCACACCCCCGAGCAAAGGUCUCCGCCCAAACUCGGGGGGUUCGGGUAGUGAAGAGGUUGUCCUGCUCCUAUAUUCGUGUUUCAACCAAAUGGCAUCUUUUUCCUCAGACACCCAAAAAGCCUCCUCCCUUGCAGCAAGUUUAAAAAGAAACUUUGACGUGCUUGUAACUAAUGCGUCUGGAAAGUGGAUUUAACGAGAGGGAGGUGUUUGGAAAUCUGCAUUUUCACAACUGCUGCAGGUGAUUCUUGUGCACGCUUUGGUUUCCAGAUCACUCCCCCAAGCAGUCCACACCUACUCUAGUCACAGGCGGCCAAUCCUUCUCCAGCCACCUUUGCGGCAACCUGUCUGUUGGCCAAAUUCUCUCCUACUCCAGAAGCCAUGGCUGAUACAGCUGCUCAAUGGA